GUUCCGUAGUGAACCUGCGGAAGGAUCAUUA
rnacentral:rRNA from 1 species